UUUUUUUUUUAGGGCCCCAUUUGUGGUAUAUGGAAGUUCCCAGUCUAAGGAUCAAAUCAGAGCUGCACAGCCACAGCAAGGCAGGAUCUGAGCCGCAUUUGCAACCUGCACCGCAGCUUGCAGCAAUACUGGAUCCUUAACCCACUGGGUGAGGACAGGGAUCAAAUCUACAUUUUCAUGGAUACUAGUCAGGUUCUUAACCCUCUGAACCACAAUGGGAAAGGCUAAAACACUGUUGAAAGAAAUAAAGGAUACCUAAACAAAUAGGAAAAUAUCUAUAGUGUAAACCCUGAGUAUUGUUUUGUUUUUUGUUUUUUGUUUUUUCCUUUCCUAAUGCAAGUGCCUAACUUAAGCUUUGACUGCUGAGGCAUACACUUCAAAGAGGCCCCUCUAUUUCCAAGACAGCUAGCUGGAAUAAACACAUUGCCAGCCACAGGAGUCCAUAGAAAGCCAGGCCAAAUACUCCUCCUUUGUUUUAGAGACCUUGUUUCAUUUCAAUAACUGAUCAUUUGGGACCCUUGUUUUGUUUUGUUCUUCUUCCCAUGCUUUAAAUUCUGUCGCUAAUGUUUUUAAUUCACCAAUAAAGAGUGAGCCUGAAAAACCCUAGGUCCCUACCCUCUACUGGAAUAAAAGCAGAACCCCAGAACUGUGUAUUUUCUCUCUCUCUACUGGCCUUGCUGUUUAGUUCCAGGUACACAUAUAAUUUCCAGGUCCAGUACGUAAUAAAUUUUUAUUUGUGCAAAGUUUCCUGAUGGUUAUUGCUGAAGGGCACCUCACAAUUAUAAUAUGAACCACAAGAGCUGCUCCAACCACAUCACUGGUUAUGGAUAGGCUGAGACAAACACAGAAGAGUAUCCCAUGUUUAUGGGUUGAAAAAUCGAAUACUAAGAUGGCAAUACUUCCCAAACUGACCCAAGGAUUUAACACAAUCUCUAUCAAAAUCCUGGUUGCCUUUUUUACAUAAACUGACGAGUUUGUCAUAAAAUUUAUAUGGAAAUGCAAGGGAUCAGAAUAACCAAUCCUAUAUUAAAAAAGAACAAAAUUGAAGAGCUCAUAACUCCCAGUUUGAAAACUUCCCACGAAGCUACAAUAAAUUGAGAUUAUAAUACCUGCAUAAGUCUAGACAUAAGUAGAAUAGAAUUGAGAAUCUGGAAAUAAAAUCUUACAUAUUUUGUUAAGUGAUUUUCAACAAGGAUGCCAAAACAUUCCAAUGGAGAAAGAAUAGUUGUUCAAUAAAUGGUGUUGGGAAACUGGAUAUUCAUUCACAUGAAAAAGGAUGAGGCUGGACACCUUUUUCAUACCAUAUACAAAUUAAUACAAAUGGAUCAUCGGUGGAAAUAUAAGAGCUAAAAUGGCAAAAUUCUCAAAAGAAAGCAUAACAAUCCAUUUUUGUGACCUUGGCUUACACAAAAUUUCUUAGCUAUACUACCAAAAUGUUGUUAGACUCUAUCAAAAUGAAAAACAUUUGGUGCAGCAAAGCUUAUUAUCCAGAAAGUGAAAAGCAACCACAUAAUGUUGGGAUAUAUUUGCAAAUUACAUGUCAUAUUAGAGACUUACACAGAAUAUAUAAAUUACUCCUACAAAUCAAUAAUUUAAAAAAACACAUUUUUUAAUUGGGCAAAAGAUUUGAAUAGAAUUUCAUCCAAAAAAGAUCUAGAAAUGCCAAUAAGCAGAGAACAUUUGCUCAAUAUCUUUAAUCACUGGAGGAAUGCAAAUCCAAACCACAAUGAGAAUCCACUUAACACCCUCUAGGAUGGCUAAAAUAAAAAGAUAGCAAUAAGCGUUGGCAGGAUGAAGAGAAAUUAUAACACUCCUACAUCACUGAUGGGAAUGUAAGAUGGUGAAGAUGCUUAGGAAAAUGUUUGGUGGUUUCUCAAAAUGUUAAACAUAAAGUUAUCACAGGGGCAUUCCCAUCGUGGUUCAGUGGAAAUUAAUUUGACUAGGAUCCAUGAGGAUACAUGUUCAAUCCCUGGCGUUGCUCAGUGGGUUAAGGACCUGGCGUUGCCAUGAGCUGUGGUGUAGGUCACAGACAUGGCUCGGAUCUGGUUUGGUGUUGCUGUGGCUGUGGCGUAGGCCAGCUGCUACAGCUCUGAUUCAACCCCUAGCCUGGGAACCUCCAUAUGCCACAGGGCAACCCUAAAAAGCCUAAAUAAAGAAAGUUAUCACAGGACCCAGCAAUCCCACUCCCAGGUAGAACCCAAGAGAAUUUGAUAAAUAUGUCCAUGCAAAAACAUGUACACAAUUGCUCAGAGCAGCAUUGUUCAUAAUAAAUAGUCAAACAGUCAUAAUAAAUAGUCAAAAAGGUCCAUCAGCUAAUAAAAUGCUAAACAAAAUGUAGUACAUACACACAUUGGAUUAUUUGGCAAUGAAAAGAUUAAAGUUCUGAUACAUGCUACAACUCGAAUGACCCUGAAGAACACUUGCUCUGUGAAUGAUGACUUUCUGUGUGAAAUGUGCAGGGAAGGCAAAUGUUUAGAGAGAGUAUAAAUUAUCAGUUCUGAGGAACGGGGAAUAUGGGAAAUGGAGAAUGACUGCUAAUGAACAUGAAAUUUUUUUUGAGUGUUGAGAAUGUUCUGAAAUUAGAGAAUAGAGAUCAUUACAAGACUGUGAAUACACUAAAAAAAUACUAAAUUAUGCAUUUUAAAAGGCUGAAUUUAUAGUAUGUGUAGUAUAUCCCAAAAACUAACUUUGUUAAAAAAAAUAGUAAAAUUUACUGUGACAUCAGGGUUACUUUCAAUUUAAGAUCUUUUUUAGGAAUAAAUAAAUAAUAUCUAAUGCUGUAUAAAUUUUUCAAGGGCAAUCUGAAGAUAUGCCAGUUUCUUAGAAACUAGAAUACAAGGUAUAUAUUAUCACUGGUGAAUUUUUAAACGCAGAAUGGGGCUUCUUUAUCUUUUCAUUUAUUAAAUGGUCCAGUUUAGAAUUAGUAUUCAUUGAACUGAGAUAAAUUGUCUAUUUCUGCAGAUGAAUGAACCAAAGUCAAGUGAAAGAAUUCAGAACUUUUAAAUGAUUUUAAAUGAUGUCCAAACUUUAAAUUAUAAGAUGAUGAUAUUACCCACUUUAAAAAAAUAUCGUUUCAUUUUCCUCUCAUGUUAUUUCACAUUCAGAGUACUGAUAAGCGUAACAAAUCAAUGAAAAAUUGAUUCAACAGAAAGAAAAAGGAGAGGCUUUUCUACAGUGUUUAUAAAAUGCUAACUGUAGCCAAGUCAUCCUUUAUAAUCGUGUAAACUCCCAGCUUUUGUUUAUUAUUUUGGGCAUAUUCUGUUCAGUUUGAUUUAUUAGAUUGUUUUACACAAAGAUGAUUUGCUCAUUGGAUUUUUUUUUUUUAGCUAGCAUAAGUUAUAUAUUUAAAAUAGAUUUCCACUUUGUCCUUUUGAGUUGUAAAUAAAACUCAACCCAGGUGAGCAGGAUUGCUGGAACCAAACAAAUAAAGGAUGAAAUACAUUGGAAUUGUCUUUGGAAAAAUUUAUCAAUAUGCCUUGAAAUAACUGGGCAGUUUUAAACCUGAAUGCACUGCAUAAGCCAUGGAACAUUCAGUUGUAUACAAUGAAAUCACUAUCAAGGUUUAAUACAUUUAAAUUCUCUUUUGAAUCCAUCAUUUUUAUAGUUGUUUAACCUGUGUAUUUAAAUAAAUUUGGUGAUAUUCCUGCCAUGUUUAUUGACCGUAGAUUUUUUAAAGAACUUUUAAUUAGUGAAUCUUAUGAUCAAUUGAUUUUUUGUUAUUAUGAUAACUGCUGCUUUUCAUUUUUUUUUUUUUUAGCUCAUAACUGCUUCUUGUGCCAUGGAGUGUCCAUUAAUAGUCUCAGUUUCAUGUUUCAAAGCAUCUGCUUAGUGUAUGCAUUAUAUUUGAUUAACACCAUGACAUAUAAAAAUAAAAAUUUCCACCUUUAUUUUCUCUUGGCUGGAUAAAAUACACUCAGGCUAUACUUCCUUCCCCUCAGAAUUUUUAAACAUUACUCCAUUAUUUUUUCACACCAGAAAAGGCUGAGCAGAAAUCCUUAUAGAAUAAAAAAAAAAAAAAAAAACACAAUAAAAA
rnacentral:lncRNA from 1 species